GGAUUCCCCUAGUAACGGCGAGUGAAGCGGGAAGAGCUCAAAUUUGUAAUCUGGCACUUUCAGUGUCCGAGUUGUAAUCUCGAGAAGUGUUUUCCGCGCCGGACCGCAUACAAGUCUGUUGGAAUACAGCGUCAUAGUGGUGAGAACCCCGUAACUGAUGCGGAUGCCCGGUGCUUUGUGAUACACUUUCGAAGAGUCGAGUUGUUUGGGAAUGCAGCUCAAAUUGGGUGGUAAAUUCCAUCUAAAGCUAAAUAUUGGCGAGAGACCGAUAGCGAACAAGUACCGUGAGGGAAAGAUGAAAAGCACUUUGGAAAGAGAGUUAACAGUACGUGAAAUUGUUGGAAGGGAAACGAUUGAAGUCAGACUUGUUAUCUGGAGUUCAGCCUUUCGGUGUACUCUCCAGUUUACAGGCCAGCAUCAGUUUUCGGGGCGGGAAAAUCGUAAUUAGAAGGUAGCAGCCUAGCUGUGUUAUAGCUUUUUACUGGAUUCCGCUUUGGGGACUGAGGAACGCAGUGUGCUUUUAGCAAUACCCUCGGGUAUUUCACACUUAGGAUGCUGGUGGAAUGGCUUUAAACGACCCGUCUUGAAACACGGACCAAGGAGUCUAACAUGCUUGCGAGUAUUUGGGUGUCAAACCCGGAUGCGCAAUGAAAGUGAAUGAAGGUGGGAUCCGCAAGGUGCACCAUCGACCGAUCUGGAUUUUUUAAGAUG
rnacentral:rRNA from 1 species